AACGAACGCUGGCGGCAGGCCUAACACAUGCAAGUCGAGCGGACCCUUCGGGGUUAGCGGCGGACGGGUGAGUAACGCGUGGGAAUAUGCCCUUCUCUACGGAAUAGUCCUGGGAAACUGGGGGUAAUACCGUAUACGCCCUUUGGGGGAAAGAUUUAUCGGGGAAGGAUUAGCCCGCGUUGGAUUAGGUAGUUGGUGGGGUAAUGGCCUACCAAGCCGACGAUCCAUAGCUGGUUUGAGAGGAUGAUCAGCCACACUGGGACUGAGACACGGCCCAGACUCCUACGGGAGGCAGCAGUGGGGAAUCUUAGACAAUGGGGGCAACCCUGAUCUAGCCAUGCCGCGUGAGUGAUGAAGGCCUUAGGGUUGUAAAGCUCUUUCAGCUGGGAAGAUAAUGACGGUACCAGCAGAAGAAGCCCCGGCUAACUCCGUGCCAGCAGCCGCCGUAA
rnacentral:rRNA from 1 species